rnacentral:lncRNA from 1 species
AUGGCCAAGUCCAAGAACCACACUACACACAACCAGUCCCGAAAAUGGCACAGAAAUGGUAUCAAGAAACCCCGAUCACAAAGAUACGAAUCUCUUAAGGGGGUGGACCCCAAGUUCCUGAGGAACAUGCACUUUGCCAAGAAGCACAACAAGAAGGGCCUAAAGAAGAUGCAGGCCAACAAUGCCAAGGCCAUGAGUGCACGUGCCCAGGCUAUCAAGGCCCUCGUAAAGCCCAAGGAGGUUAAGCCCAAGAUCCCAAAGGGUGUCAGCCGCAAGCUCGAUCCACUUGCCUACAUUGCCCACCCCAAGCUUGGGAAGCGUGUUUGUGCCUGUAUUGCCAAGGGGCCCAGGCUGUGCUGGCCAAAGGCCAAGGCCAAGGAUCAAACCAAGGCCCAGGCUGCAGCUCCAGCUUCAGUUCCAGCUCAGGCUCCCAAAGGUACCGAGGCCCCUACAAAGCCUUCAGAGUA